GUCUCAGUUCGGAUUGAAGGCUGAAAUUCGCCUUCAUGAAGCUGGAAUUGCUAGUAAUGGCAGGUCAGCAUACUGCCGUGAAUACGUUCCCGGGCCUUGUACACACCGCCCGUCACACCAUGAGAGUUGGGAAUACCCGAAGCCUGUGAGCUAACUUUAAGAGGCAGCAGUCGAAGGUAGAAUCAAUGAUUGGGGUGAAGUCGUAACAAGGUAGC
rnacentral:rRNA from 1 species